CGCUGGCGGCAUGCCUAAUACAUGCAAAUCGAACGAAGCCUUUUAGGCUUAGUGGUGAACGGGUGAGUAACACGUAUCCAACCUACCCUUAAGUUGGGGAUAACUAGUCGAAAGAUUAGCUAAUACCGAAUAAUAACAUCAAUAUCGCAUGAGAAGAUGUAGAAAGUCGCGUUUGCGACGCUUUUGGAUGGGGGUGCGGCGUAUCAGAUAGUUGGUGAGGUAAUGGCUCACCAAGUCAAUGACGCGUAGCUGUACUGAGAGGUAGAACAGCCACAAUGGGACUGAGACACGGCCCAUACUCCUACGGGAGGCAGCAGUAGGGAAUUUUUCACAAUGGGCGCAAGCCUUAUGAAGCAAUGCCGCGUGAACGAUGAAGGUCUUAUAGAUUGUAAAGUUCUUUUAUAUGGGAAGAAACGCUAAGAUAGGAAAUGAUUUUAGUUUGACUGUACCAUUUGAAUAAGUAUCGGCUAACUAUGUGCCAGCAGCCGCGGUAAUACAUAGGAUGCAAGCGUUAUCCGGAUUUACUGGGCGUAAAACGAGCGCAGGCGGGUUUGUAAGUUUGGUAUUAAAUCUAGAUGCUUAACGUCUAGCUGUAUCAAAAACUGUAAACCUAGAGUGUAGUAGGGAGUUGGGGAACUCCAUGUGGAGCGGUAAAAUGCGUAGAUAUAUGGAAGAACACCGGUGGCGAAGGCGCCAACUUGGACUAU
rnacentral:rRNA from 1 species